rfam:Otolemur garnettii contig168484, whole genome shotgun sequence.
GUGCCUGCUUGGGCAGCACUUAUACUAAAAUUAGAAUGAAUGAUACAGAGAUUAGCAUGGUCCCUGCACAAGGAUGACAUGCAAGUUCGUGACGUGUUCCAUAUUAAC